AUGGCGAUGGAGUGCGACGACUGGGGCGACGGCGGCGGCGACAUGAACGCCGUCCCGGACGGCGUGGUGCAGCACAUCCUGUCGAUGCUCAGCAACGUCCGCGACGUGGCGGCGUGCGCCUGCGUCUGCCGCCGCUGGCGCGACUGCGUCCCCUACCUCCCGGCGCUCUUCUUCCCGCGGAACGCCUUCGACGCCGCCGCCGUGGGCGGGGGCGCCGCGGACGAGGCCAUCGGCCGGAUGGUGGCCGCCGUCUCGCGGCUCAGGGAGCUGGUCAUCUACUGCCCCUUCUCCAUGGCCCGCCUCCCCGCUUGGCUCGCCAUGCGGAGCGCAUCGCUCCGGGUGCUCGAGCUGCGGAUGGACGCGGCCGCCGACAAGGAGGCGGCGGGCGGCGGUCACCUGGACUGCGUCGCCCUGGCGACGGGUCUGGAGGAGCUGAGGCUCUGGGGGGUGCUGAUGACCAACGCGCCGGCGUGGGGCCGGCUGCAGCAGCUCCGCGUGCUGGAGAUCGUGGGCGCGCCGCUGCGGGAUACCGCGAUCACGGAGACCGUCGCCGCGUGCCCCAACCUCACCGACCUGUCGCUGCUUGGCUGCGACUGCUCUGGCGAUGUAUCCAUCCAGCUCUCUAUGCUCCAGCGGUGCCGCCUCGACUUCCUCGGCGGCGGCAACUGCUCGCUCUUGCUCUCCGCGCCCCGCCUCGAGUCACUCGAGGCCCAGGGCUUCACCUGGAUCAGUCUGCGGGGCGGCCACAACCUCCGCCGCCUAUCGAUCGCCAAGAGCACAGGGAGGGUGUAUAAGGUGGACACCGGGAGGCUCCCAGAUCUGGAAUACCUCUCGCUGCGCGGUGUCCAGUGGAGCUGGGCCGCCGUCAGCUCGGUGUUGCAGUGUGCGAGCGAGGUGAAGCACCUUGUGAUGAAGAUUGAAUUCUGCGGUGAUUUUGAUGUGCUCCAGCCGUUCCCAGAGAUCGAUUUGGUCGAUUUCUUCAACGGCCACCCCAAGAUCACCAAGUUUGAGAUCCAUGGUGCCAUGUUUGCUGCUCUGUGCCAGAAAAACAGCCUGAAAAACUUGGAUUCAAGGUUCUGCAUCCCUUGCUUGGAAGAGCUUUUGAUCACGGUGCGCUCGCCUCUCAAUGCUGAACAGAAGCUGAGCACUCUUGAAUCGCUUGUGAAGUACAGUGUCAAGCUCCAGUCAAUGGUCAUCCGAAUCUCACAGAUGAAGAAUUGCCAUGAUGCUGCUGACGAUUUCUUUGAGGAGAUAUGUAAGUUCAAGUACAUCAACUACAGGAAAGUGCGGAUUGAAUAA
rnacentral:rRNA from 1 species